GGGCGGGGCCACGGGGCGGGCGGGGCUCGGCGUCUCCCGGCGCCUCCCGUUGCGCGUCUGGGACGCCGAGGGCGGGAGGAGCGCGGAUGAAAGACAGAAUUGCGUUUGAGGCGUUCUGAGUACGGAAAGACGUGAAUUGGAGUUAAACUGCGCUCCCGUCCUAUUUCUGCAAGUAGAACUUACUGCCCUUAAAAAAGGUCUGUUGGGAGGCUCUAAGUUACAGAGGACGUAUUUUUGUUUGUUUUUAUGUGAAGCGUUCAAAAGUUGCUUUUAACCGAGUACACUGGUUUUCAAAUUUUUUAAGAUGAGGAACUGUUUUGAUUCUAAGAAUAGAAAUUUACUUGGAAACCCAAGUUUUGUCUUGCUGUUUUUCAUUGAUGGGAACCAACUGGAAAUCAGAAUACAAGGCACUCAACUAAUUCAGUUCGAGAGGACCUUUUCCUGUGGCACAGGGCAAGGUGGGGAAAAUUGAUCUUGAGAAACAAACAGCAUGGCGACCAGUCAUAAAAUUUAUACACAAAAUUAAUGGAUUGUAUUUUCCUUGAAGAGGUUAAAUCUAAAAAAACAAAAUAAGAAUAUGCAGGAUCUAUAUGAAGAAAGCUAUACUCUACCAAGAUACUUGAAAAAAUACACAGAUAUAUGAAGGCUUAUGCCUUGAUUUUAGGUGUAAAAAGUUAAUGUUUAAAGACAUCCAUUUAUCCACCUUGGUAAACAUAGUCAUUAUUUUUGAAAUCAAAGCCUCAAGAGCUCUCUUUCACAACUUGAAAAAUUAAAAUCAUGUUAGAAAAUUAAAUAGUCAGAAAAUAGUAGAAAAAUUAGAAAAAUGAGUAGAAUCAUAGAGCUACAAUAAUUAAAAUAGUAUGAUUUGGGGGAAAGAUCAGUAAGUUAGAUCAGUUUAAUUGCAUUGAAAAGCAAGAAAUUGAUUCUUAAAUUUCUAUGGGUACAUGAAAACUGUGGCAUUUCUAAUCACAGGGGAACUUAUAGAUGAUAAGAUAAAAUAUUUUAGGUCUAUUUUAGGUCAAAUGUUAAGAUAUGACCUCGAUAAACAAAAAUGUAAAUACAUUAAAUAUUUAUAUAUAAAAUCAAACAAUCAUGAAUAUAUAAAUAAAAUUGGAUAAGUGUUUCUAUAAAUCAGAUGUGGAACUAUAUGGUAAUUUUAUAAUAAAUCAAUUACAAAAUAUAGCAGAUUCAUUUUAAGUGGGUGAAAGCCAUUUUCACCCACCCGUUUUUUUUUAAUGGGUGAAAUCCACUCAUAAAUGGUAGCCAGAAAUCAAAGUCAGAAGGAUAACAUGUAUUUAAAAAGCUAAGGGGUUAGUUUUAUGAGUGUCCAACCUACAGAUUCACACAGGACAAUAGUUGAUAAUGGCCCCAUACUUGGUUUGAUAUUCUGCUGUCACAGUCUUGAAUGCCUUAACAAUUUUGGAACAAAGAGCCCUGGAUUUUCAUUUUGCACUCAGUCCUGCAAGUUAUGUAGCUGUCCUAGUGAAGCUUCCCAUAUACUCAGUGAAAUAUAAAUUAAAACCUGAUUUUUAAAAAUCGUUUUCAGGUUGAAAACAAUAAAAUAAAAGCCCUUAUGAUAUUAUAUAGCAUCAGAAAUUAGAAGAAACACUCAUACAUCAUUAGUUCAACCAUUUGCAAAUAAUCAAGAAUAAUAUAUCAAAAUUUAAAGUGAAUACUUUUGAUUGAGCAUGUUUUCUACAGGAAUAGAUCUAUAGGAACUAAUUGAAACCAUACAUAAAAAUAAGGAUAUUUAUCACAGUAUUGCUAAUAAUAACAAAAAUAUGUAAACCAAUGUAAAUGUUCAUAAAAAUUGGUUAUAUGUUGGAGAAUACAUUUCUGUAGUUUCAUGUUAUGCUUCAACCUGAAAUGUGAUAUAAAUAUACAUAUAAACACAUACAUUUGAAAUGUAAAAAUGUACAGUAUAGCGAUAUGGAAAGACACCCAUGAUUCAUUGUUAAGUGGAAAGCAGACUAUGUAACAGCAAGGAUAGGGAAAUGCUAUAGGUAGCUGUACAAAACUUUUUAUAUAUAGGUAUAAAAAUGUGUGAAAAGAUAAACAAAGAUAUUAUUAUUUGAUAUUACAGGACCUUUAUUUUCCUGUUACAAUUUUAGAUAGUCUUCCUUUUAACAAUGGGCUUUUAUUUCUAUUAAAAUAGAAAAAUCAACUUGAACUAAUAAGAAUUGAGUCAUUUAUGGCUGUGAUCAUUUAAAUAAAUAAUUUCAAAAAAUAAUUAUAAUUUUGUGUAAAACAAGGCAAUGAAUACAAACAGUUUUGAAAGAAAGUUAAAUAACAUUAAAAAGUUAUGUUGUUUCAAACAUGUCAAUUAUAGAGCCAAAAAUUUGGGGUUAUAAGAAUAAGCAUACUGGUUUCCUCAUCUUAAAAAUCAGCAAUUAAGCAUAUACUGCUUCAACCCUGACAUAGAUAGUUAGAAGAAUAUAGAUUUCAUUUGUUUUUGCAAAGCAUAAAGGUAAUCAAAUUAAUAAAGAUUUUGAGAGGCAUAGAAAAUUAUUUCAGAUGGCACAUGAUUAUGAGUUAGAAACAUGAGGUAGUAUGUCUUGAACUGGAGUGAAGAACAGUACUUAAUGUGAAAAAUAAUUAUUUAUAUGGAUUCAAAUUUAAUUAAAAAGAAAGGAAACCAUACCACGCUUAAUGAACCACAGAGAAUUUUAGUCUUUCAUCUAAAAUGAGAAAACACAGAAUGUAGCUGCAGCCAGAUGAUGUAUUAUACUCAUCGAGUUAAUUAUCUAUGUUGAUUAAAAUAAAUACAUAAUCUCCCAUAAAUUGCUUCCUGAUAUUCCUUUAAGUUGUUUUACUUGAAAGAGAUUUAAAAAUGGAGAAAUAUGGCAGACAGCUAAAAUAAAUGCAGAACCACCUGCAGGUUGAGUCUCAGAAGUCUGAUGAGUAGAAAUACUUCAGUCAAGUGUCUUAUGCAACACAUGACAUUUCUAUCAUCAUUUUUAACUGGAAAAAAGCUUCUUGGAGGUAAGCUAGUACUAUAUGGUAAUAAGUUGAAAGGUAACAUAAUACAGAUUUUAUCUGUAUAUUUGAACUGUUGAAAUGUACUUUAAAAAUUAUUGCAUAUUUAGUCAUCUUGCCAAAGUCACUUGAAGUAUAUUGUUAUUUUUUGCACUCUCUGAAAACAUUUUUACCUAUGUAAUCAAAGUGGCAGAAUAAGAAAAAUUAUAUAAAAAUUCAAAAGUUGAACCCAUUUUGUUUGUAUUCAUUAUCUUGACAGCCAGAUAAAAUAAAAUAAUUAAAGAACUUAUGCCUUUCAGAACAUUAACUAACAGUUUCUGACAGUUUCAGUUAUUUAAGAUAAGUUCUGGAUAUCUGUACAGCAUAGUGACCAUAAGUAGGAAUACUAUUUUAUUGUUAAAAUUUACUAAGAUAGUAGUGCUUAUGUUAAUUCUUUCUAACACACAUACACACAAAUUAAAAAAAUAAAUAAGGAGUGGGAAGAAACUUUGGGGAGUGAUGGAUAUUUAUAGCCUUGAAGAUGGUGAUGGUUCAUGGAUAUAUGCUUACUUCCAGACAUAUCAAGUUGUAUAUGCCAAAUACAUAUAGCUUUUUACAUGUCAAUCAUAUGUAAAUAAAGUGGUUUAAAACA